UCCAAAGGCUGCAGCAGCUUGCCUGAUUCUGUGAUUGACUUCUGCAUCAAUGUUAGCAUUUGAAGACAUUAUACUACCAAGGCGCUCUCUUGCCGCUGCGGGCGUGCCUCCUCGCGCCUGGAGACAAUCUGCAAUCAGCACACCUGCCCGUGAUGAGCGAGCUGCCUUCAUAAGCCGGCACAACCUGCCAUCCCGCGCCUGAAUAUAACCUUCUGUUCGCGUACAUACCCUCCGUCGCCUUGAAAGUGAGCUGUGCGUCUCACUUUUCCCUGGAUCUCCCUCUGGACUCUGACUGCCUCCCUCGAUCCUUGACUUCCCCCGCUUUGGACUUGUACCUGUAGACUUCUCUCUCCCCUGGACUUCCUCGUCUCUCGUUCAACAUUUACGGGGAAUCUGGCCAAAAAUGUGCAGGUAGGGCCGAUACAAGGCUCUGCGGAACACCCAGUCUAUCCGGGGGUCAUUUGGGUGGAGAAGAGCCUGAGUGGCCACCCCAUACGCAAUAAGCCACACACUCAGGAAGAAGAGGAAGAAGAAGACAUCCUUCAUCUGGAGAGGAAACCAUUGCAGUUUUAUUUUAGGAGCCAAAACAUUAGUCACCAUUCUCUCCACAAUGAUUAUCUUCGGCCCCAGUUGUUUAUGGAUGGCAAAGAUGUGAAUCAGCCGCAGUGUGAACACCAUGAAGUCUAUCGCCAGAACCGUCCUGCCCGCCUCGUAGGUUCCAUCAAUCAUCCUGCACAUCCAGACAGAAACUCCGACGACAAAGAGUGAGAUAGCGACCAUGUCACACUUGUUCCAGUUGUCCUCCACAUAGAGCUUGAACUUCUUCAAGAUGUUCAUCUCUUCAUCUGAAAAGAAGCUCUGCGAUAUGACAGAUAUUUGUUUAUUGGUAUUAUACAUGAACUGGGUCACAUAUA